CCACAUCAUGUUGAAACACUGGUUCCCUUAUAAUCACUGAAGUUAAGCAACAUUGAGCCUGGUCAGUACAUAGAUGGGUGGCUGAUUCAGAAUACCAAGUGCUGUAA